rnacentral:rRNA from 1 species
UGCAAGUAGAACGCUGAGAGAGGAGCUUGCUCUUCUUGAAUGAGUUGCGAACGGGUGAGUAACGCGUAGGUAACCUGCCUUGUAGCGGGGGAUAACUAUUGGAAACGAUAGCUAAUACCGCAUAACAAKGGGUGACACAUGUCAUUUAUUUGAAAGGGGCAAUUGCUCCACUACAAGAUGGACCUGCGUUGUAUUAGCUAGUAGGUGAGGUAACGGCUCACCUAGGCGACGAUACAUAGCCGACCUGAGAGGGUGAUCGGCCACACUGGGACUGAGACACGGCCCAGACUCCUACGGGAGGCAGCAGUAGGGAAUCUUCGGCAAUGGGGGCAACCCUGACCGAGCAACGCCGCGUGAGUGAAGAAGGUUUUCGGAUCGUAAAGCUCUGUUGUAAGUCAAGAACGAGUGUGAGAGUGGAAAGUUCACACUGUGACGGUAGCUUACCAGAAAGGGACGGCUAACUACGUGCCAGCAGCCGCGGUAAUACGUAGGUCCCGAGCGUUGUCCGGAUUUAUUGGGCGUAAAGCGAGCGCAGGCGGUUUGAUAAGUCUGAAGUUAAAGGCUGUGGCUCAACCAUAGUUCGCUUUGGAAACUGUCAAACUUGAGUGCAGAAGGGGAGAGUGGAAUUCCAUGUGUAGCGGUGAAAUGCGUAGAUAUA